rnacentral:rRNA from 1 species
UACGGAGGGAGCUAGCGUUAUUCGGAAUCACUGGGCGUAAAGCGCACGUAGGCGGAUUGCUAAGUCAGGGGUGAAAUCCUGGAGCUCAACUCCAGAACUGCCUUUGAUACUGGCGACCUUGAGUCCGGGAGAGGUGAGUGGAACUGCGAGUGUAGAGGUGAAAUUCGUAGAUAUUCGCAAGAACACCAGUGGCGAAGGCGGCUCACUGGCCCGGUACUGACGCUGAGGUGCGAAAGCGUGGGGAGCAAACAGG